rnacentral:misc_RNA from 1 species
CAAGAAGCCGAAAGGCUACUUCAAACCAUCGCGAACCCGUCCCAGUUGCUUCGGCGGAGCCGGCUCCCCCGGGGGGCCGCCCGCCGGAGGUCACAAACUCUAUUGUAUUACAGUGGCAUCUCUGAGUAAAACACAAAUAAGUUA